rnacentral:pre_miRNA from 1 species
UAACCUCCACAGGUUGGCUGGUCCCCUGGUUGGGCUGGGCAAAUAUAUCUUUGAAAGGUUCACCUUCCAGCACCACUAGGAGC